rnacentral:rRNA from 1 species
UACGUAGGGUGCAAGCGUUGUCCGGAUUUAUUGGGCGUAAAGAGCGUGUAGGCGGCUAUACAGGUCCGCUGUGAAAACUCGAGGCUCAACCUCGAGACGUCGGUGGAAACCGUAUGGCUAGAGUCCGGAAGAGGAGAGUGGAAUUCCUGGUGUAGCGGUGAAAUGCGCAGAUAUCAGGAAGAACACCCGUGGCGAAGGCGGCUCUCUGGGACGGUACUGACGCUGAGACGCGAAAAGCGUGGGGAGCGAACAGG